rnacentral:rRNA from 1 species
UGGACAAUGGGGGCAACCGUGAUCCAGCAAUCCCGCGUGGGUGAAGAAGGCCUUCGGGUUGUAAAGCCCUUUCGGCUCGGAAGAAAUCGGCGGGGUGAAUACCCGUGCUGGAUGACGGUACCUGCAGAAGAAGCACCGGCUAACUACGUGCCAGCAGCCGCGGUAAUAUAUAGGGUGCGAGCGUUAAUUGGAUUUACUGGGCGUAAAGCGUGCGCAGGCGGCCCGUUAAGACAGGUGUGAAAUCCCUGGGCUCAACCUAGGAAUUGCGCUUGUGACUGGCGGGCUAGAGUACGGUAGAGGGGGGUGGAAUUCCUGGUGUAGCAGUGAAAUGCGUAGAGAUCUGGAGGAACACCCAUGGCGAAGGCAGCCCCUUGGGCCUGUACUGACGCUCAUGCACGAAAGCGUGGGGAGCAAACAGGCUUAGAUACCCUGGUAGUUCACGCCCUAAACGAUGGGUACUAGCCGUUUGGGCAUCAAGGCGCUGAGUGGCGAAGCUAACGCGUGAAUACCCCGCCUGGGA